AGGUACAAACAGUAGCACCAAGGCAUGCAACAAGCCUUGAAGACCGUACAUCCAAGACAUCUGAAUGUCUUUGAAUGAUCUUCAAAUUGCCACGGAUGCUCAAGCAUGGACUUGUGACAAAGUUUUUCAACUAAGACUUGAGUAAACUUGACAUUGAGUAAAUCAGUUAGCAUGGUCUACAGUACAUUUCAAACACCAUGAAAUAAUGAUCAUCACUAAAUAAAAGUCAAUUUAAGCUUCUCAAUGGAAAUAAUAAAGCAUAUGGGAC